AUUUAGUAAUACUAAAAUUUCCUAAAAAUAUUCAAGUAAUUUGAUAAUUACCUUUGGUGGAGAAAUAUUAAAACUAAAAUAAUUCCUUACAACUAUUGGUAAUUGUAGACUUUGGUGAUGAACUAUUGCAACUUUUGGUGUUAACAGUUAUAAACUUAACUGACCAUUGUAGUGUUUAAUUUUUAACCAUUGCAUCUUUUGGUGUUUUUCUUUUACAAAACAGCAUUUUUGAUCAUGCAUGUUCCAUUAACACAUGUUCCAUGUUCUAUAUAUAUUCACACACUUAAAUUAUAUAGAAAGUUUGGGAUAUGUGUGUUUGGAUUGCGAAAAAAUGUCAAAGAUGUGUAUUUUCAUCCCAAAACUAAAAGAAAUUUAAAAGAAGUUUCAAAAUGUCGAAAGAUGUAUCUUUUCAUAAUGAUGUGCAUUUUCUUCCUAUAAUGCAAUAACUUAGAAUAGGCUGUAAAAAUGUUUAAGAAUGUGUAUUUUCAUUCUAAAAAAAUCAUAGAUUUUUAAGAAGUAUCAAUAUGUCUAAAAUAUAUAUUUUUUCUUCCUAACAAUUACGUAGAUUUUUAAGGAACUGUCUUGUCGUUCAUUUUCAUAUCUAUUUUAUAUACAUUUUUAAAAAUAUUUAAAAUUAUGAUAUUAUUCAGGUAUAUUGGUUGGUAGAGUGAUUUAAUUAGUUAUGAUAUUAUAUAUCUAUGAAAAUAAAUAUAUGAUUUUAAUUUAAAAUUAUACUUUAUGGUUUAUAAUAUUCUUUUUUGUAUGUUUUUAAUUCUGAAUCGGUUUUUAUUCGGGUUUAAGAUUAAAUAUUCAAGCUAUUUAGACAAUAUUAUUUAUUAGUAGAUAAGUAUUCAGGCCGAGAAACAUAUUUUUAUAUAUGCACAUUUUCAUUUAUGUAUGAGUUUGAUAUAUGUAUUAUUUAUUUAUUGAAUCUCUUAUUACACUUAAAUAAAACAAGAUUAUUGGAGACUUAAGUGAAUCUAUGUAACCAUUUAAGUGAAUAUGUGUAACCAUUUAAGUGAAUUUGUGUAACAAUUUACGUGAACAAUUGCAAUUGUCUAGAAAAACAGUUGCAACUGAUGAAAGAAACUUUUCAACUUUUGGUGAUGAACCAUUGUAAUCUUUCGUGAAGAACCAUUGCAAUAGUGGUGAUGAACCAUUGUAAUUUUUGGUGAUUGUAGCAUUUGUUGAUGUGCCAUUGCAACUUUUGGUAUUAACCAUUGCAACAAUCGGCUAAUCCUUGCAAUAUUUGAUUGUAACCAUUGCAACGAUUAGUCUCCUAUAUAAGGAGUUACAGGUAGAGAUGGCAAUUGAGUACAUGGACCGCGGGCCUGGCCCAAAAAAGACUGAUGCGGGGCGGGUUAGGGCCGGUAUUUCUUAGGCCCUUAAAAAAUCGGGCCUUGCGGGACCCGCGUAAUCCGGUGACAGAGUUUCACUUUCGUCUCGUGCACUACUUAAAGACGAAAUUAUCUGAGAAUAUAGCGAUUCUGGAGACGAUCUACAACUGUAGCUUCUAUUUUUCUUCGAUCCACCACCAUAGCUUCUCUUCUUCCUCGAGCCACCACCUCCGUCUUGGUUUGCGAGUGAGUUGAUAUCAACAAUGGUUUCCCUUUGUUUCUCGUGCCAACACGAAGCAUUGCCAGUGUUCAGAUUGGUUAUGCGCUGCCGUAAGUAUAUCCCAUGGAAGAACUUGGAAGGAAUGAUCUCUUGGAAGUCACAACACAAAAAAAAAAUAUAAAACCGUCGUCCUGCGGGCCGUCCCGCAAAGGCUUAUAUAUAUUGCGGGGCGGGGUUGGUCAGACAUUCUGGAGACUGCGUUCCGUGCGGGCCUAACCUGCUUGAAGCUAAUCCCACGGCGGUCCUGGACGUGAUUACAAACGAGAAAAUCACACAAUCAAAAAUAAAUUAGAAAAGAGAGAGAUGUACUUUGACCAAAAAAAUGAGAGAUAUUAUUCAAGGAUCAUUGAUUAUAUUUGAAGAAAUAAAGAUAAACAUGUAAAAUUGCAUUAGUUUUUUCAAUAUGUAGUGAAAGUGUGUGAACAAGUGCGUUUAUAUUUUUAAAA